AUUGAACGCUGGCGGCAUGCCUUACACAUGCAAGUCGAACGGCAGCACGGGGCAACCUGGUGGCGAGUGGCGAACGGGUGAGUAAUGCAUCGGAACGUACCUUUCAGUGGGGGAUAACGUAGCGAAAGUUACGCUAAUACCGCAUAUUCUGUGAGCAGGAAAGCAGGGGAUCGCAAGACCUUGUGCUGAUUGAGCGGCCGAUGUCAGAUUAGCUAGUUGGUGAGGUAAAGGCCCACCAAGGAGACGAUCUGUAGCGGGUCUGAGAGGAUGAUCCGCCACACUGGAACUGAGACACGGUCCAGACUCCUACGGGAGGCAGCAGUGGGGAAUUUUGGACAAUGGGGGCAACCCUGAUCCAGCCAUGCCGCGUGAGUGAAGAAGGCCUUCGGGUUGUAAAGCUCUUUCGGCCGGGAAGAAAUCGCACGGGCUAAUACCCUGUGUGGAUGACGGUACCGGAAUAAGAAGCACCGGCUAACUACGUGCCAGCAGCCGCGGUAACAC
rnacentral:rRNA from 1 species